CGGAAGUGUGCUGUGAUGUGUCUGUACAGCAGCCGCCUCUGAGUUGGGUGUGGCUAGUGAAGUCGCAUAUGUACACACUUUGGAAAUAUUUUGUGCUUUUUGACGAAUAUCUUUGUGAAUAUCUUGUAACAAUGAACUCACUUGAUUGCAUUUUUAAAAAUUUUAUUGAAAGAAAGACUAAACAAAACAGAAAAUGGGUAGAAAUAAUAUAUAUGUUCAAAGAAAAAAUAAACAGUAAGAAAUCACUAGUUGAUGUUUACAUACUGUCCUCUUACAAAUAGUUGUUCAAGAUACAAAAGUGGAACAUAUAAAUUGGGAAUUCAAACAGCGAGACUGCAAACAGUUCUGUUCAACAAUCCAACAAAACUUAGUAAUAUGGUUAUCAAUCCUAUACACUUAAACAUACAUGCAGUUAUCCAUAUCUUCAUUUAUGUUGAGAUUAAACUAAAGCAGGCUAAAAUCAUUCUGAACAAAGAAUGAGAGUAUUGCUGGAUUUCACAUCAUGACACUCCAGGAUCAGUAUUAUGUACUGUAGUGUCUUUAAAAUUUUUUUUAUUUAAAGAAAGACUAAACAAAACAGAAAACAGGUAAUAAUAAUACAUACUUUCAAAGAAAAAAAGAAAUCACUAGUUGAUGAUUACAGAUUGUCCUCUUAUGAAUAGUUACUCAAGAUACUAAAGUGGAGCAUAUAAAGUGGGGAUUCAAACAGUGAGACUGCAAUCAGUUCUGUUCAACUGGUUGAACAGAAAAACUUAGAAAUGUGGUUAUCAAUCCUAUGCACUUAAACAUACAUGCUGUUAUCCAUAUCUUCAAUUAUUUUGAGAUUGAACAAACCCAAGCAGGCUAAUAUCACUCUGAACAAAGAAUAAUAGUAUUGCUGGGUUUUGCAUUAUGACACUCCAGCAUCAGCACUGGGUACUUUAGUGUCUCUCUCUCUCUCUUUUUUUUUUUUUUGUCUUUUUAUUUUUUAUCGGUACCGGGGAUCGAACUCAUGACUGUCUGCUUGAAAAGCAGGUGCUUAUGCCGCUGAGCUAAAUCCCCAGCACUUUAGUGUCUCUUUUUCUUCAAAGUAUCUGUUUAUUUCAUCAUGUGUUAUGAGAUCAGUUCUCAUAAACUGUUUAUAGAUUCUACACAUGCAUGAGUCUUAACAUGUAUUUCUAUUCUUUCUAUAUUACAGGGAGAAACAAAACAAAGCAAGACAAAACAAAACAUAUUCCUAUAAACACACAUGUAAUGAAAAAAACAUAUAAGAUCAUCAUACAAAGAGUUCUGCCAUACUUCCUGUGUUGUCUCUUGUUAUCUUCAAAAGAAUUGGCUAUGUCAUCAGACAUAGUAUAAUUGGAUAUAUCAGUACAUAACAGUAUUAAUAAAAACACAACUUUGUAUAGAGUAUAGAACUUAAAAAGUCGUCUGUCUGUAUCUGUGUCUGUGUGUCUGUGUGUCUGUGUGUCUCUCUGCCCUUUCCAUCCGUCUUGCAGGUGAGCCACACCAAGAGCUGACCUGCUUUCCCUUGUUUUCAAACGCGGUGAAAUCACUUCCUGUUUUUCCCUUUUCGGGCUUCUAAGCUUGGCCACAGAAGCCCAACAAAUGUGUCCACGUGAGCCCAGAGCAGGGUAAUCUGCAGCCGCUCUGGCCCUCAUCUGGCAUCCAGUCCACCACCUCUGUGUCAGGAUCCCUGGAGGGCCACAGGCACCUCUCGUGGCCGAAGGCACAGGCCUCCCAGACCCUCGUUCCCUGACCUCCUGGGCUGUCUCGGACCUCGGGGUGGGCCCCCCUGGGAUUGCAGGAGGGAUGGAAGGGCCGGAGAGUCACCAGGAGGUGCUGUGCCCGGUUGCUAGUCCUCAGUGGUGGUAUGUCUGGCAAAGGCGCAGUUGGGGGCAAGCAGCGGGGUGUGGUUGCCCUCACGGUGCCCUAGGGCAGGGGCCGUGAGGGCCCAAGUGGGGGCCCAGUGUCUUUCGGGUCCCGAGACCCGUCAGCCCGAAGAAACCUCAUGCCGCAACGCAAGGCCCGGCCCUGCUCCGCUCCGCUCCGCUCCGCUCUGCGGCAGGCUGCUGGACCCUAGGCCUCGGAGCUGCUCCGUGGCCUCCAUACCCUUCUCAGAGCAGGGUGCCAUGCCUUCUCCCGUCCCCCCACCCCCGGAGGCCGGAGGCCGGAGGCUUCCCCUGGUGCUCUGCAUGGGCUUUGGCCGGGAGAGCUGCUUUGCCAGGUCUCAGGAGGACGGCCUCUUCGUCCUCCCCCGAGGGCUGCCUGGGCUCCAGCGAGUCCUCCCGUGCCUCUCAGUCCUCAGCGUCCCCUCUGUUGAGGUGACCGUGUUCCUGGUCUCCGGCCAGUCCGGACGUUGCUGGGGCCCACCUGGACGCAGCCCCAGCCCCAGCCCCAGCCUAGCUACCCUAAUCCCCGCCGGCCUCUGGGCCUUUGGCCACUGAGGGCCACUCGCUUUGCCUUGCUGGAGGACCCACUUUCCCUGGCUUCAGCCACUUGUGGUUUUGUGGUCUUUCGG